rnacentral:rRNA from 1 species
GACGUAGGGCGCGAACGUUGUCCGGAUUUAUUGGGCGUAAAGAGCUCGUAGGCGGUUUGUCGCGUCGGCUGUGAAAAGCCCGGAGCUCAACUCCGGGUCUGCAGUCGAUACGGGCAGACUUGAGUGUUGCAGAGGGGGGGUGGAAUUCCACGUGUAGCAGUGAAAUGCGUAGAGAUGUGGAGGAACACCGAUGGCGAAGGCAGCCCCCUGGGCCAAUACUGACGCUCAUGCACGAAAGCGUGGGGAGCAAACAGG